rnacentral:rRNA from 1 species
GGGCCCGCACAAGCAGUGGAGCAUGUGGUUUAAUUCGAAGAUACGCGCAGAACCUUACCAACACUUGACAUGUUCGUCGCGACUUUAAGAGAUUAAAGUUUUCGGUUCGGCCGGACGAAACACAGGUGCUGCAUGGCUGUCGUCAGCUCGUGUCGUGAGAUGUUGGGUUAAGUCCCGCAACGAGCGCAACCCUCACUUUUAGUUGCCAUCAUUUAGUUGGGCACUCUGAAAGAACUGCCAGUGAUAAGCUGGAGGAAGGUGGGGAUGACGUCAAGUCCUCAUGGCCCUUACGUGUUGGGCUACACACGUGCUACAAUGGUAUCUACAACAGGAAGCAAGACUGCGAAGUUAAGCAAAUCCUUAAAAGAUACCUCAGUUCGGAUUGCACUCUGCAACUCGAGUGCAUGAAGCUGGAAUUACUAGUAAUCG